GAUGAACGCUGGCGGCGUGCUUAACACAUGCAAGUCGAACGGUGAAGCAGGAGCUUGCUCUUGUGGACCAGUGGCGAACGGGUGAGUAACACGUGAGCAACCUGCCCCUGACUCUGGGAUAAGCGCUGGAAACGGCGUCUAAUACUGGAUAUGUGAUGUGACCGCAUGGUCUGCAUCUGGAAAGAAUUUCGGUUGGGGAUGGGCUCGCGGCCUAUCAGCUUGUUGGUGAGGUAAUGGCUCACCAAGGCGUCGACGGGUAGCCGGCCUGAGAGGGUGACCGGCCACACUGGGACUGAGACACGGCCCAGACUCCUACGGGAGGCAGCAGUGGGGAAUAUUGCACAAUGGGCGGAAGCCUGAUGCAGCAACGCCGCGUGAGGGAUGACGGCCUUCGGGUUGUAAACCUCCUUUAGCAGGGAAGAAGCGAAAGUGACGGUACCUGCAGAAAAAGCACCGGCUAACUACGUGCCAGCAGCCGCAGUAA
rnacentral:rRNA from 1 species